UGAGAGAGAGAGAAAGAUGAACAACUAGAAACAGAGACUAGAACUACUACUCCAUUAGAAACUCCUUAUCUUUCUCCAAAUUCUCCAUAGCCUGAGCUUCCAAGCUGAUCUCUACAUCAAUACUCCUUCCCCCACCCUUUCCCUGGUAAAGGUA